AGAGUUUGAUCCUGGCUCAGAUUGAACGCUGGUGGCAUGCUUAACACAUGCAAGUCGAACGGCAGCGCGGGGAGCUUGCUCCCUGGCGGCGAGUGGCGGACGGGUGAGUAACGCGUGGGAAUCUGCCCAGUAGUGGGGGACAACCCGAGGAAACUCGGGCUAAUACCGCAUACGCCCUACGGGGGAAAGCAGGGGAUCUUCGGACCUUGCGCUAUUGGAUGAGCCCGCGUCGGAUUAGCUUGUUGGUGAGGUAAAGGCUCACCAAGGCGACGAUCCGUAGCUGGUCUGAGAGGACGAUCAGCCACACUGGGACUGAGACACGGCCCAGACUCCUACGGGAGGCAGCAGUGGGGAAUAUUGGACAAUGGGCGCAAGCCUGAUCCAGCAAUGCCGCGUGUGUGAAGAAGGCCCUAGGGUUGUAAAGCACUUUCAGUUGGGAAGAAACGCAGGGUGAUAAUACCGCCCUGUAAUGACGUUACCGACACAAGAAGCACCGCUAACU
rnacentral:rRNA from 1 species